rnacentral:rRNA from 1 species
CCUACGGGUGGCAGCAGUGGGGAAUAUUGCACAAUGGGGGAAACCCUGAUGCAGCGACGCCGCGUGAAGGACGCAGUCUUUCGGUAUGUAAACUUCUUUCAGCAGGGAGGAAAAUGACGGUACCUGACCCAGAAACCCCGGCUAACUACGUCCCAGCAGCCGCGGUAAUACGGCGGGAGCAAGCGUUAUCCGGAUUUACGGGGUGUAAAGGGGGCGUAGACGGCCAUGCAAGUCUGAUGUGAAAACCCGGGGCCCAACCACGGGACUGCAUUGGAAACUGUGCGGCUGGAGUGUCGGAGAGGCAAGUGGAAUGCCUGGUGUAGCGGUGAAAUGCGUAGAGAUCAGGAGGAAUACCAGUGGCGAAGGCGGCCGGCUGGACGACGACUGACGUUGAGGCGCGAAAGCGUGGGGAGCAAACAGGAUUAGAUACCCGUGUAGUC